rnacentral:rRNA from 1 species
ACGCUGGCGGCACGCCUAACACAUGCAAGUCGAGCGCUCUAACCACUUCGGUGGGGACGGGAGCGGCGGACGGGUUAGUAACGCGUGGGAACAUACCCUUUUCUACGGAAUAGCCUCGGGAAACUGAGAGUAAUACCGUAUACGCCCUUUCGGGGGAAAGAUUUAUCGGUUAAGGAUUGGCCCGCGUUAGAUUAGUUAGUUGGUGGGGUAACGGCCUACCAAGACGACGAUCUAUAGCUGGUUUGAGAGGAUGAUCAGCAACACUGGGACUGAGACACGGCCCAGACUCCUACGGGAGGCAGCAGUGGGGAAUCUUAGACAAUGGGCGCAAGCCUGAUCUAGCGAUGCCGCGUGAGUGAAGAAGGCCUUAGGGUCGUAAAGCUCUUUCGCCUGUGAUGAUAAUGACAGUAGCAGGUAAAGAAACCCCGGCUAACUCCGUGCCAGCAGCCGCGGUAAUACGGAGGGGGUUAGCGUUGUUCGGAAUUACUGGGCGUAAAGCGUACGUAGGCGGAUUAGUAAGUGAGGGGUGAAAUCCCAGGGCUCAACCCUGGAACUGCCUCUCAUACUGCUAGUCUUGAGAUCGAGAGAGGUGAGUGGAAUUCCGAGUGUAGAGGUGAAAUUCGUAGAUAUUCGGAGGAACAUCAGUGGCGAAGGCGGCUCACUGGCUCGAUACUGACGCUGAGGUACGAAAGUGUGGGGAGCAAACAGGAUUAGAUACCCUGGUAGUCCACACCGUAAACGAUGAAUGCCAGACGUCGGGUAGCUUGCUAUUCGGUGUCACACCUAACGGAUUAAGCAUUCCGCCUGGGGAGUACGGUCGCAA